rnacentral:rRNA from 1 species
AUUGAACGCUGGCGGCAGGCCUAACACAUGCAAGUCGAACGAGUGGCGGACGGGUGAGUAAUGUCUGGGAAACUGCCUGAUGGAGGGGGCUAACUACUGGAAACGGUAGCUAAUACCGCAUACCAUCAGAUGUGCCCAGAUGGGAUUAGCUAGUGGGGGGGGUAACGGCUAACCAAGGCGACGAUACCUAGCUGGCCUGAGAGGAUGACCAGCCACACGCGAACUGCGCCACGGCCCAGACUCCUACGGUAGGCAGCAGUGGGGAAUCUUGCGCAAUGGGCGGAAGCCUGAGGCAGCCAUGCCGCGUGUAUGAAGAAGGCCUUCGGUUUGUAAAGUACUUUCAGCGGGGAGGCGUUACCCGCAGAAGAAGCCCCGGCUAACUCCGUGCCAGCAGCCGCGGUAAUAC